rnacentral:rRNA from 1 species
AUGGAGGGAGGGGAGAUGUGCGGCAAGAGCGUGAGUGAGGAGGUGAAGCCGGAGUGGGAGGAAGGAGAGGUCUUGAUGCAGGGAGAGGGCGGAGGCGGAGGGGAUGGGGGUGCUGCGACGGCGGCGGGGGAAGCCAUGGCGCCGGUGCAGAUCGACGUGAGGAUGGACGUGGCGCUGCUGCACUGCCAGGCCUGCCUCCUCCCCCUCAAGCCUCCCGUGUUCAAGUGCGAGGCCGCCGGGCACGUGGUGUGCUGCUUCUGCCGCGCCGGCCACGCCGCCCUCUGCAGCCGCGCCGGCACCCACUGCGGCGAGCUAGACGCCGUGCUCGGCGCCGCCAAGGUGCCGUGCCCCUACAAGGUGUUCGGCUGCGAGCGCUACGUGGUGUACCACGGCGCGGCGGACCACCAGCGCGCGUGCCAGUGCGCGCCCUGCUCCUGCCCGGAGCCCGGCUGCGUCUUCGUGGGAUCCCGCGCGAUGCUGCUCGACCACUUCGCCGCCGGCCACCAGCGCCACGCGGUCACGGUCCGCUACGGCCGGCCUUGGAACCUCGGCUUCUCCCUGUCGCGCCGCUGGCACGUGCUCGUCGGGGAGGACCGCAGCGUGUUCCUCGUGUCCCUCGGCCCGCUCGGCGCUGCCACCGCCGUGUCGCUGGUCUGCGUCAGGCCGGACGGCGCGGGCGAGGCGGCGCCCCAGUUCCGGUGCAAGCUGUCCGUGGAGCGCCCGGCGGGCGACGACAAGGACAACCUGGUCCUCAUGACCUCGGCGGUGAGCAGCAGCGCGCUGUCCACCGGCGCGCCGGCGCCGGGGCAGGGGAUGUUCUUGGCGGUGCCCCAGGAGCUGCUCUCCGGCGACACACUGAUGCUCAGCGUCCGGAUUGAUCUGAUCCGACCGGCCGGCGGCGCUCCCAAGUCUGCUACACCACAGGCCAGGACGCCGAGGAGGAUGCAGUGA